UUUCUUAGCUGGAUGGGUGAAGUGUUCCCUCAGUUCACAUAGACCAGGCUUCCUCUUUAGAGGCAUAAGCUGUAAAACAGGAGAGUCUGUUUUAAGAGGAUCUGUUUGAAGUUUAAUGUAACUGAAGUCCAUGCACCUGAAGCCAUUAAUUGAUAUAAGUGAAGUAAGUCUUUGGGUUUCCGGUAGCUCUGACUCAGAUUCUGCUUGCCUCUUCUCCAUGAGAUUACCAAGGCAUCAGGGCAGAGACUCCCUGAGGAUGAGUGGAUCUGGUUCAGAACAUCUGUGAACACAGAGGGAGUGGAAACUUCACUUUCAACAUCAUCAGCCAACUUCCCUCCCAUUACAAUUCUAUCUCAAGAUCAAGGUCAUGCAACAAAACCAGCAGGUUGUCCUCCAUUUGAAGAGUCUCUCCUGGCCUCAUUUGAUCUUCAUCCGUUAAAAGCCUACAUGUUGGUUAAG
rnacentral:lncRNA from 1 species